ensembl:lncRNA
AUAACCAGCAUAGUGCUCUACAUUUGACAAAGUCUUUUUGCACGUAUUAUUUCACAAGCACGUCACAUCAGCUUUCAUAUAGCUUCACAUUAUUUUGCAACAGUUUCACACAGAUGGGGAAGGUAAGGUUCAGAAAAGUGACCAACUCAAAAGUCGUGAAGUUUAGUAAAAUUUGACCUCAAAUCUUUCUGACUCCACACUCUGCCAACUCUGCUAUAUUGUAGUGUUUCUUUUAAUAUCUUACACGAUUUUUCCAGUGCUAUGAGGUAGAAUAGGUGUCCUGUUCUGUCGCAUAGACUUGUCCUAGGGUUAAUGACAGGGCUGGGACUAGAACCCAGCUCUUAGCUUUGUGCCCUUUCCACUGUGUAAAACAAUCUUCAGGCUCUUUCUCUGUCCCCAAAGGAGUAUGGAGGAGGAAGAGUUCUUAAGUAACAAAGAUUUCAUUUUUGGAAAACAUUUAAAAGUAGAAAUCAUAUUUUUCUAAAACAUCUUCUCAUUAAGAAGCAUAGUUAAUGAUAAUUACUUUAAAUUUAUUCUGAUAUUACUUCAGAAAAACUCCAUCUAGGAAAGAGGCUACCUUGAGGUCUCUGUCUGUAGAGUAGACUGUACAGAUCUUAUAUAUUUCCUGUGAAUCCUUCAACAAUUACAAUCUGGUAUUCCACCAAGUGUUACAUUUGGCACUAAGUGGCACUAAGGAACUCAUUCUUUUCUUUAAUCACUUGUUCAUUCAUUCAUUCAGUAGAACAUUGGUUGAGAGUUUGCCAGACUCUAGGUUCUAUGCCAGGCACUGUACAGGGUGCUGUAGGGGAUAAUUUAUAAGAAGGCCUUCUCUCACCUUAAAUCUUAGCCAGAUCACGUGUAUUGCUAAAAUUUAAAAUUUUGCAUUAAAAGUAUUAAGAAAGAAAUCAGGUUUGUUUUUGUUAAUGGUAUGCUGGUAAGUUUACAGCUGUGAUGAGCACAUAUUUAUGAGAGGCAAAUACGAUGCACAGUAAGUUAGUGUGCAUAUACAAAUCAUGUUCUUCCAAAAUGCUUUUAGCUCUGUAAAGUGAUAUUGCAAAAAUAUAAAUUUGAGGUAAUAUAUGGCUCUUGCUGGUCAUAAUUAUUAGUGUGAAUACCAGGUCCUUAGAGGGGGACUCUGAGCCCUAAGAGAAUAGUUUAGAGCUGCCAAAAUUAGCAAUGAUGUAGUAUCACCCUGAAGUAUCAGGAGCAGAGGUGCCCCAGAGCACUCCCCAGUCCUGUCAGGAAACUUGAACUGCCCCAGUACUCCAGCAACAGCCUAAGGACUUGAAGUCCCUGCAGGUGGGGGAGGUCUUCCUGGAACCCUCAGAAACAGAGAGAACAUGCCCCCUCAGAUACAGUGAGGAGGUUUUACAGAUCUUCAUAAGGCGUUGAGAUCAAAUGAUAUGAAAAAGUAGGAGUUUCAAGCUCAAGUCUCAAAGGUGAUUCUCAGGAUUUGACCCGGAAAGAAGCUUCCUUAGGAACAGAUAAUGCAUUGAUGAAGUAGAAGUAGCUUCAGCAAAAACAUAGUACAGAAAUCCCGUCACAAUGUCCUGCAUUUUAUAGCUUUAUUAAAGAUGAGUUUGAAGGUCACAUUCACUACUCAAUUGUAAACUGAAUGGAGGGGAUAAGAUCUCCCCACACAGUAUGUUCCUCUCUUUUCUGAGAACGACGCACGGGAUUUUCAGAUAAACUCCAUGUCAUGUAAGUCCAGCUUCAGUUCCAAAAUUCCUAUCACACUCUGUUUCUGGAAGUGAUCUCUGCCAGACUGCCUUAGAUACCAAUUUUAUUUAUUCUUAAGUUUGCAGGGAUUCUUAACACGCAUUUCCAUUAGAGGUGGUUAGCUGGCAGAGUUUUCCCUUGACUUCUGAGACUGGUGCAAAUUGACUCUUGAUACCCAAGAAGUGUUACUUAAACAAACUAAGUAGCUUUGGAAAUAGCCGUUUAUUCCAUUAAAGGGCUUGCACAUGAGGUCCUCUGGCUAACCUUGGUCUUAACAAGAACCCAUUGUGACCCAUCAGGACUUGCUAGUACCCCUAGUUCCCACUUUGGUUGUAUUUAGAGCUUCAGGAUGUGUCACUACUGAGCAAGAAAUGCUCAGAAAUUCAGGCUAUGAGGGGUUAGAUUAGAGCAAAGUAAGUUGAGUUAUCCAGAGCUUUCAACCUCAAGGUCUAUAGGAAAACCCCUACAGUCUCCUCUAAGGGUCUUCCAAGAUCCUUACAAAAGUAUUAGACUAGGCAUUUCGCAGUAGAACUAUAGCCUCUGGCAACAUACUUCCAAAUGCUAGUUCCCGCCAAGAACAAGUAUUUCUUUGUUUUUUAUGUAUUUCUUGUCUUUACCCAUUUUGCCAUUAAAAUAUAUUCAUUUCAUUAACUUAUUGAGGAUCUGCAAAAAAUAUGAAUGCUAUGUGAAACCACUGAACAGUUGAUUUUUUUGGUAGUUCAAAAAUAAUCAAGAGAAUUACAAAUCAAGAUGUUCUGCCUGCAUCCUGGAGUCAUAGGAAUUCUGUGCCAGAUGAGCCUUAUCUAAUUAGGUGAUCCUGUCAUUUCUAGAGAAGGAAACAAAUCCACAGGUUAAAGUGUCUUUUCUGACCAGUCAGUAACAAUUCAGAGCAGAGUAAGUUUUUUUCUCUCAGCCCAUUGUUCUACUUCUCUUCCCUUUCUCUUGUAGUUGAGUAGCUUUUGGAAAAAUGUGUUCCUUAUAGCAGUAGUUGCAAGGGAUGUUAUUAGAUGUUAUAAGAGAACAAAAGUGUAUGUGGGGUGGGGGGGGGUGGGGACUCCAAGCUCAGUUAAAAUUGAGGAAUGCUGAGUUUGUUUCCUUUCUGUAGGACUUCGAAGAGUUUUUAAUGUGCUCUUAUAUAUUGUGAAUUUAUAAGGGGACAAAGACUGUGUUUACGAGACUUAUUUGACCUUAAACUGCGCCCCAUCCUCCUUUUUUCAGAGCAGCUCAAAGGACUCCGUGUCCUUUGGGAAACAUGGCUCUCAAAAGUUUACAAGUCUUUUAGAAGACACCCCUAAUGGAAUUCUGAAUGGUACAUCCACCAUGUAAACCGUAAUAUAUCUCAAAGUUCAGUGAGAUGCCAGAAAGAAAACGUAUUUGCCAUUCAGAGCUAUACAUCAAGUAUAGAGAUUCUUUUCUACCUAUGGUGUGUAGAAUCAGUAUUUGUGUUUUAGUUUUGAAAGUUUUUCAAAGAUCAAUUAGUGUGCAAAUACAGUGGUGAUAUUAUUUUAAUAAUGCUUUUUUGUGUGGCACUUUAUAGUUUUCAGAAUGCUUUCAUAACAACCCUGUGAGACAGGCAGGUAUAAGUAUUAUCAGAUGAGGCACUGGAGGCUCAGAAAGGUUUUUGUGAUUUUCCCCUUAAGUUUAUACCACAAAAUGAUGGAGCCAGAAUUCAGUUGCAGAACUUCUGACUCCAAGUCCAGAAUUCUUUACUCCACACCUGGUUUCUUACUUUUUCUUCUAGCUUCAUAUUUUACUAUGAAAGGUAUGGAAGCAGAUCUUAAACAUCAUUUUGGCUUCUUAUCAAAUACUAUUUUUUAUGGCAGUGACCGAGAAAGUGUAACUCCAAUUGUAGUUAUCCCAAAGAAAACCCUUCUUUGUGCUUUGCAGUGCCACUUGUCUAGGUGAUUGGAGUGUAUUUCAAAUACCAUUUGAUUUUGAAACCAAGAUUGGAUAUAUAGUUUUAAUUGCUUAUGUAACUUCUGGAAAAUGUAUCAUCUUUGCAUUCUCAGGCAAAGUAGAGAUGGUUUGAAGUAAAAAAAAGAUUAUUCAAAUACAACAAUACAUCUUUAUUCUCGCAAACUCUGUUUCUUAGCUUUAACUUGCUUUGACAACCAACUGAUGUAACAUCUUUGUAAAUGUAAAGUAUUUAUAUUUUGAAAUAAAAUUACUGUGUUGAAUG